rnacentral:rRNA from 1 species
CAGUAGCCGCGGUAAUACAGAGGAUGCAAGCGCUAUCCGGAAUGAUUGGGCGUAAAGCGUCUGUAGGUGGCUUUUCAAGUCCGCCGUCAAAUCCCAGGGCUCAACCCUGGACAGGCGGUGGAAACUACCAAGCUGGAGUACGGUAGGGGCAGAGGGAAUUUCCGGUGGAGCGGUGAAAUGCGUUGAAAUCGGAAAGAACACCAACGGCGAAAGCACCCUGCUGGGCCGACACUGACACUGAGAGACGAACGCUAGGGGAGCAAAUGGGAUUAGAUACCCCAGUAGUCCCUGUCUCUUAUAC